AACGAACGCUGGCGGCAGGCCUAACACAUGCAAGUCGAACGAGCUGAGACCUUCGGGUCUCGGUGCUAGUGGCGCACGGGUGAGUAACGCGUGGGAACGUACCCUUUAGUACGGAAUAACCAAGGGAAACUUUGGCUAAUACCGUAUACGCCCUUCGGGGGAAAGAUUUAUCGCUAAAGGAUCGGCCCGCGUCUGAUUAGGUAGUUGGUGAGGUAACGGCUCACCAAGCCGACGAUCAGUAGCUGGUCUGAGAGGAUGAUCAGCCACACUGGGACUGAGACACGGCCCAGACUCCUACGGGAGGCAGCAGUGGGGAAUAUUGGACAAUGGGCGAAAGCCUAAUCCAGCCAUGCCGCGUGAGUGAAGAAGGCCUUCGGGUUGUAAAGCUCUUUCGACGGGGACGAUGAUGACGGUACCCGUAUAAGAAGCCCCGGCAAACUUCGUGCCAGCAGCCGCGGUAAUAC
rnacentral:rRNA from 1 species